AGGGAUGUGAUGAAAUGGUAUCAUAGAGGUCUCCAAAACCUUUUUUUCAGGUUCGAAUCCUGACAUCCCUGCCA
rnacentral:tRNA from 1 species